CAUCUUCUGGAUUUGGUAUCCUUAAUUGGUUACUAUCUUCCAGUAUUUACUUUGAGAAAACUAGAGUGUUUCAAACAGGCCAUUUGCCUUGAAUACUACAGCAUGGAAUAAUGAAGUAGGACUUUGGUUCUAUUUUGUUGGUUAUUGAGCCAGAGUAAUGGUUAAUAGGAGCAGUUGGGGGCAUUCGUAUUUAACUGUCAGAGGUGAAAUUCUUAGAUUUGUUAAAGACGAACUACUGCGAAAGCAUUUGCCAAGGAUGUUUUCAUUAAUCAAGAACGAAAGUUAGGGGAUCGAAGACGAUCAGAUACCGUCGUAGUCCUAACCAUAAACUAA
rnacentral:rRNA from 1 species